GGCGGGGGGGUUAACAUUGAGGAAGAGACGUGAUCCACGAGGCAGAGCGUGACAUGGUGUGCCCGGGAGACCGGAGACAAAAGUUGGCUUCCCGCUGGAAGAACGCGGAGCAGCUGGCCAGCAUAUUCUGAUCCACAGAAAGCGAUACUGGGGGCCACGUCUUCCUUUCCCACUGCCUUCUCCGCACAGGCACCUUAUUGAAUAUAUGCCAUUGAUGCGCGAACGUUGAACUCAGGGCCAGCAGCACUAUAAUGUGUGCCUGAAUGAAGCUUAUCUCAUGCACAGAUUUUCUCUAUAAGGCACAUUGCAGCUAUUGUGGGUUUCAGAACACCAGACAGCACUUCAGCACUAUGCUUGGGGGCCAUUUUAAACAGCAAAAUUGUCGACAAAAGUACAAAAAUACAAAAAAGGUGUCGCCGUCACUCA